GUUUAAACUAUUAAUAAUUCCUAUGAGGAAUUGAAAC
rfam:Stanieria cyanosphaera PCC 7437 plasmid pSTA7437.01, complete sequence.